AGUGCGACAGACAGCCUCAGAGCUGGUGGGGAGACAGCAUGCCACUGGAAAAAUUCGUAGACAUGGAAUUCCUGGAUCAAAUGAUACUAAGGGGGACUUGCCUGGAAGCAGACUUGUGUCCGCAGUAUACAAACACCCUUUAAUGCACACACUGGCCAGAUAACACAAACACACAUUUACCCCCACAGCACAUAGACUCUUCUCGCAGUACACACACUUGCCUUCCAGUACACAGACAUAUCCAAAGGCACACCGACAAGGACCACAGCAAAAAGAUGUUCCCCA